ensembl:lncRNA
ACUCUUUUUUUCUUUCAGGUAUUCUAUGAUCAUGGUGAUGCGAUAGUUAAGGUUAGUCAUCAGGUGACAUGACAUACCAGAAAUGCAUCCGGUUUAAUGGCACAGACAUUUGCAGGAGGCAGAACUAUGGCUUGGCGAGAUUUUCUACAUCCUGGUGAGUUAAACAUCAUUUGGGUUUAAAAAGUUCAAAGGAAUUAAAAUUCUGAGAUCAUUUACUAACACUUCAUGUCAUUACAAACUUGCAUGACUAUGUAUUUCACAGAAGUACAUGUGACUUCAGAAGACUUGGAAUGCAGCGCACAAGUCAUAUGAGCUACUUUUAUGGUACUUUUUUAUUUGUCAUUAUCUAUAAUUAAUGGCAAAAUUCAUAUUUUUCCUUUCCAGGUGAAUUAAUCGUUUUAAAUAUUCACUAGUGAGCUACAAUAAGGACAUUUUGG